GGCCUCGUAGCUCAGCUAGUAGAGCGUGCGCUGUGCAAAAGCGGCGUCCAUGCGAGGGUUUGACUCCCAUCGAGGCUA
rnacentral:tRNA from 1 species